rfam:Salmo salar isolate Sally breed double haploid chromosome ssa15, whole genome shotgun sequence.
AAACCUCCAAUUUGUAAGUCGCUUUGGAUAAGGGCGUCUGCGAAAUGACGUAAA